UACGGUCAUAUCACGUUAAUAACAUCUGUUCUCGUACGAUCACCGGAGUUAAGUAACGUUGAGUCUGGUUAGUAACUAGAUGGAUAGCCGCUUGAGAAUACCCGUUGCUGU